rnacentral:rRNA from 1 species
CUACGGGAUGCAGCAGUGAGGAAUAUUGCACAAUGGGGGGAACCCUGAUGCAGCAACGCCGCGUGGAGGAUGACGCAUUUCGGUGUGUAAACUCCUUUUAUAUGUCAAGAAAAUGACGGUAGCAUAUGAAUAAGCACCGGCUAACUCCGUGCCAGCAGCCGCGGUAAUACGGAGGGUGCAAGCGUUACUCGGAAUCACUGGGCGUAAAGGACGCGUAGGCGGGUUUGAAAGUCAGGUGUGAAAUCCUACAGCUUAACUGUAGAACUGCACUUGAAACUUCUAAUCUAGAGUAUGGGAGGGGGAGAUGGAAUUAGUGGUGUAGGGGUAAAAUCCGUAGAUAUCACUAGGAAUACCUAAAGCGAAGGCGAUCUCCUGGAACAUUACUGACGCUAAGGCGUGAAAGCGUGGGGAGCAAACAAGAUUAGAUACCCUGGUAGUC